UACGUAGGGUGCGAGCGUUAAUCGGAAUUACUGGGCGUAAAGCGUGCGCAGGCGGUUCGUUGUGUCGGCGGUGAAAGCCCCGGGCUCAACCUGGGAAUGGCCGUUGAAACUGGCGGGCUUGAGUGUGGCAGAGGGGGGUGGAAUUCCGCGUGUAGCAGUGAAAUGCGUAGAGAUGCGGAGGAACACCGAUGGCGAAGGCAGCCCCCUGGGCUAACACUGACGCUGAGGCACGAAAGCGUGGGGAGCAAACAGG
rnacentral:rRNA from 1 species